rnacentral:rRNA from 1 species
CCUGGGCUUGACAUGCAGGUGACAGCCGUGGAAACACGGUCUCCUUCGGGGCCCUGCACAGGUGGUGCAUGGCUGUCGUCAGCUCGUGUCGUGAGAUGUUGGGUUAAGUCCCGCAACGAGCGCAACCCCCGUCUGCUGUUGCCAGCGGGUAAUGCCGGGGACUCAUAGGAGACUGCCGGGGUCAACUCGGAGGAAGGUGGGGAUGAGGUCAAGUCAUCAUGCCCCUUAUGUCCAGGGCUACACACAUGCUACAAUGGCCGGUACAAUGGGCUGCAAACCCGCGAGGGGGAGCGAAUCCCAAAAAGCCGGUCUCAGUUCGGAUUGCAGUCUGCAACUCGACUGCAUGAAGUCGGAAUCG